ACGGGAGGCAGCAGUGGGGAAUAUUGCACAAUGGGGGAAACCCUGAUGCAGCGACGCCGCGUGAGUGAAGAAGUAUUUCGGUAUGUAAAGCUCUAUCAGCAGGGAAGAUAAUGACGGUACCUGACUAAGAAGCACCGGCUAAAUACGUGCCAGCAGCCGCGGUAGUACGUAUGGUGCAAGCGUUAUCCGGAUUUACUGGGUGUAAAGGGAGCGCAGACGGCAGAGCAAGUCUGAAGUGAAAGCCCCGGGCUCAACCCGGGAACUGCUUUGGAAACUGUUUUGCUAGAGUGUCGGAGAGGUAAGUGGAAUUCCUAGUGUAGCGGUGAAAUGCGUAGAUAUUAGGAGGAACACCAGUGGCGAAGGCGGCUUACUGGACGAUAACUGACGUUGAGGCUCGAAAGCGUGGGGAGCAAACAGGAUUAGAUACCCUGGUA
rnacentral:rRNA from 1 species